rnacentral:rRNA from 1 species
AGUAACGCGUGAGUAACCUGCCUUUCANAGGGGGAUAAACGGUUCUGAAAAGAACGCUAAUACCGCAUGAGACUACAGAGCUGCAUGGCUCAGUGGUACAAAGGAGCAAUCCGCUGAAAGAUGGACUCGCGUCCGAUUAGAUAGUAGGCGGGGUAACGGCCCACCUAGUCGACGAUCGGUAGCCGGACUGAGAGGUUGAACGGCCACAUUGGGACUGAGACACGGCCCAGACUCCUACGGGAGGCAGCAUG